CAGGAACCAGCUUUCGGCUCU
rnacentral:miRNA from 1 species